ACGGGACACCUGCAUCUGCCAACAAGACUGGAAGCAGGUGAGGCACACAGAGGGGGAGGCCCGCAGCUGCGUGGGAGGAGGGGUGGUCUGAGGGACGUGGGAUGCCGGGAAUGAGGCUGGUUUGCAGGUUGGCGCAUGGACAUUUUCCCAGAAAGGGACAGAGACGGCGAAGUUUGACGGUCUGGAAAGCAGAGACCAGCAGGGCUGACUGCUUGGGAGCACCAAAUAUCCGGACAGCGCCUCUCGGGAGGUCCGAGAAGAGAACCGCGAUCUGUUUCAGCACCGGGGCUCAGGACAGUUCCCAGCGGGCUCCGUUUCGUCUCCAGAACCCUGGACAGCUCCUCCAGCCUCCCAAAGUGCUAGGAUUACAGGCGUGAGUCACUGCGCCUGGCCCAAGUCCGGAAUUUUCAACAGGACAUGGGUGUUACUGUGCCCAUGUGACAUUUGGGGAACCCAAGGCCCUGAGAAAGGCAGAAAAAUAACCCACGCAGGGACUCUCAGCCCACAAGUGAAGCUCCUCAGGGCUUUUGCCUCUGCUGUUCCUGCAGCUUGGAAUGCACUCCCUCCACCUCCAACCAGAGCUCCCCACAACUGACCCUGCCUUCUUCUGCAAGCUCCAUUUCAUCAAGGGAAACGAUCCUUAUUGCCUCACCAUUUCCCACGUGAAGUCUGUAUUGACAUUCUCAUAGACCUGGGAUAUUGUGUCUGCAGCACAUAGUCCAAUUAUUUUCAUGUUAUCUACUGACAGGUCUAUUUGUCUCCCUGUUACACUGUGAGCUCCGUGAGGGCAGAAACAAUGUUAGUAUUUUCACUGCUGUGUCCCCAGCGCCUGGUCCGGGGCCCGGCACACAGCAGGCAUAUAAUAAGCAUGUGUUGAAUCAAUAAAGGCAUCAAAGAAUAAACCAAUACAUCAAUCAAUAAA
ensembl:lncRNA MIR7-3HG MIR7-3 host gene